rnacentral:lncRNA from 1 species
AGCCGAGGGACAGCAAACGGCCUAGACGACGAACACUCCCUGCAAACCCAGCCCGAGUGGGCCAAUCUGCUUACCGCGCUGGUUUGCUGGGGUUCUUGUUGCGAUGGAAAUAGUUCUCCAGCUCCUGCAGCUGCGACUGGGUGAAACUCCUAAGGUACUGACCAUGCUGGUCCUCCUGGUCCUCCGGUUCGACUCCCAGGCCUAGCAAAUUGUAGCUGUAAUCCUUCGGAGGACGCUCCAUGUCCCGCGCACGUCGGUUAGUGAAGCUGUGCCGCUUCGGAAGAUUCGGAAGGAAUCGGAGGCCCCGUGCGCUCACCCGAGCAGAGCUAAAGAUGUGAUUGGCAGGAAGGGUUUUCUUCCUGGCCCGGAGACUCACUAACAUUGUAUCCACUCAUAGCCGCCCUGUUUGGCGCGCAGGUGGGCAUGUCCUAGUGCACAACUUGGGCCUGCAAGAAAC